rnacentral:rRNA from 1 species
AUUAUCCUACGGGGCGCAGCAGUGGGGAAUAUUGCACAAUGGGGGAAACCCUGAUGCAGCGACGCCGCGUGAGUGAAGAAGUAUCUCGGUAUGUAAAGCUCUAUCAGCAGGAAAGAUAAUGACGGUACCUGACUAAGAAGCCCCGGCUAACUACGUGCCAGCAGCCGCGGUAAUACGUAGGGGGCAAGCGUUAUCCGGAUUUACUGGGUGUAAAGGGAGCGUAGGUGGCAUGGCAAGCCAGAAGUGAAAACCCGGGGCUUAACCCCGCGGAUUGCUUUUGGAACUGUCAGGCUGGAGUGCAGGAG